rnacentral:rRNA from 1 species
GAAUUUUGGACAAUGGGCGAAAGCCCGAUCCAGCAAUGCCGCGUGCAGGAUGAAGGCCUUCGGGUUGUGAACUGCUUUUGUACGGAACGAAAAGCCUUGGGUUAAUACCUUGGAGUCAUGUCGGUUCCGUAAGAACACGCACUGUCUAACUCCGUGCCAGCAGCCGCGGUAGUACGUAGGGUGCAAGCGUUAAUCGGAAUUACUGGGCGUAAAGCGUGCGCAGGCGGUUGUGUAAGACAGAGGUGAAAUCCCCGGGCUCAGCCUGGGAACUGCCUGUGUGACUGCAAGGCUAGAGUACGGCAGAGGGGGGUGGAAUUCCGGGUGUAGCAGUGAAAUGCGUAGAUAUGCGGAGGAACACCGAUGGCGAGGGCAACCCCCUGGGCCUGUACUGACGCUCAUGCACGAAAGCGUGGGGAGCAAACA